UCUAGCGAGACUGCCGGUAAUAAACCGGAAGGGAAGGUGGGGAUGACGUCAAAUCAUCAUGCCCCUUAUGACCUGGGCUACACACGUGCUACAAUGGUUGGUACAACGAGUUGCGAGUCGGUGACGGCGAGCUAAUCUCUUAAAGCCAAUCUCAGUUCGGAUUGUAGGCUGCAACUCGCCUACAUGAAGUCGGAAUCGCUAGUAAUCGCGGAUCAGCACGCCGCGGUGAAUACGUUCCCGGGCCUU
rnacentral:rRNA from 1 species